rnacentral:misc_RNA from 1 species
AACUUUUAGCAAUGGAUCACUUGGCUCUCCCAUCGAUGAAGAACGCAGCGAAAUGCGAUAAGUAAUGCGAAUUGCAGAAUUCCAGUGAGUCAUCGAAUCUUUGAACGCACAUUGCGCCCUUUGGUAUUCCGAAGGGCAUGCCUGUUCGAGCGUCAUUAUCACCCCUCGGGCCCCGUGCUCGGUGUUGGACGGCCGGUUCGGUGACCGAACCCCUCCUAAAGACAAUGACGGCGGCCUGUGGUUCCCCCGGUACACUGAGCCUUUGGCACGUACCGGACGAGGGCGCCCAGGACCCGGUCCUCUCCUCUCAGCAGGAAACUUCUCAAGGUUGACCUCGGAUCAGGUAGGAAUACGCGCUGAAUUUAAGCAUAUCAAUAAGCGGAGGCU